GAAGAGGCAGCGAAGGCCCUCUCCGACCUCCCCGCAGUUCCCAGGAUGAUUGCUCUCGCAGCCAAGGAGUCCUGUCCCCGAAAGUUACCGAAACUUUAAAGGACGCCGGCCAAGGAGACCCGGGGCGGCCCGAGGCAGGGUAAGGCCUCCUGGACUCCUCGAAAGCAGCUCGCACCGGGAGGAGCCAGAGGCGGGGCGUGAACCGCGCGGACCCAGCGGGUUCGGGAGGAGGACAUCACACAGAAAGGAGCGGGAAUGGAUUCUAGAGGGCCAGAAGGGACCGGCCCCAGAGAGUGGAAUUGAGAGGGAGCUCCUCCGCGCCCGGGAGCAGUCCCCGGACUCCUCUGACAUCCUGUCUGUGACGACCCGGAUCUUCUAGGGGAUUCCUGGGGCCAGCGCAGUCUCUCCCGGCACGUCGCCAGGAGUCGAGAGCACAAAAUCUCUCCCGCCACGCCACCCCCCAGACGCACGCGCUCAACUCGCCAGUCCUGGGAAAUCCCUACAAUUCACCGUGCGAAGCCCAAGGGCUCAAGCUCGGGGCCGCGCAGUUCGCCGCAGCCUCCGUCACAAGCUCGCCGCAGAGGAGCCCGGGGAAACAGCGCCAGCCCCUCGGGCUCUUCUCCCUUGCUCAUCCAUUGCCUCCCCUGGUCCCCGCCCCCCCCACCGUCCCCCC
rnacentral:lncRNA from 1 species